rnacentral:rRNA from 1 species
UAAAGAUUCAUCGUUGAUAGAUAGGCAUGCGUUCCAUUAGGCAGUUGGCGGGGUAACGGCCCACCAAACCGACGAUGGAUAGGGGUUCUGAGAGGAAGGUCCCCCACAUUGGUACUGAGACACGGACCAAACUCCUACGGGAGGCAGCAGUGAGGAAUAUUGGUCAAUGGGCGUAAGCCUGAACCAGCCAAGUCGCGUGAGGGAUGAAGGUUCUAUGGAUCGUAAACCUCUUUUAUAAGGGAAUAAAGUGUGGGACGUGUCCUGUUUUGUAUGUACCUUAUGAAUAAGGAUCGGCUAACUCCGUGCCAGCAGCCGCGGUAAUACGGAGGAUCCGAGCGUUAUCCGGAUUUAUUGGGUUUAAAGGGUGCGUAGGCGGCCUUUUAAGUCAGCGGUGAAAGUCUGUGGCUCAACCAUAGAAUUGCCGUUGAAACUGGGAGGCUUGAGUAUGUUUGAGGCAGGCGGAAUGCGUGGUGUAGCGGUGAAAUGCUUAGAUAUCACGCAGAACCCCGAUUGCGAAGGCAGCCUGCCAAGCCAUGACUGACGCUGAUGCACGAAAGCGUGGGGAUCAAACAGGAUUAGAUACCCUGGUAGUCCACGCAGUAAACGAUGAUCACUAGCUGUUUGCGAUACAGUGUAA